rnacentral:rRNA from 1 species
GCCCUUUUCCGGUUGAUCCCGCCGGAGGUCAUUGCUAUUGGAGUCCGAUUUAGCCAUGCUAGUCGCACGAGUUCAGACUCGUGGCGAAUAGCUCAGUAACACGUGGCCAAACUACCCUAUGGAUCGGCAUAACCUCGGGAAACUGAGGACAAUUCCGAAUACGGCUCGAUGCCUGGAACUGGCUCGAGCCCGAAACGCUACGGCGCCAUAGGAUGUGGCUGCGGCCGAUUAGGUAGACGGUGGGGUAACGGCCCACCGUGCCGAUAAUCGGUACGGGUCAUGAGAGUGAGAGCCCGGAGACGGUAUCUGAGACAAGAUACCGGGCCCUACGGGGCGCAGCAGGCGCGAAACCUUUACACUGCACGACAGUGCGAUAAGGGGACUCCGAGUGCGAGGGCAUACAGUCCUCGCUUUUCACUACCGUAAGGUGGUAGUGGAAUAAGUGCUGGGCAAGACCGGUGCCAGCCGCCGCGGUAAUACCGGCAGCACGAGUGAUGACCGCUAUUAUUGGGCCUAAAGCGUCCGUAGCCGGCCGAACAAGUCCGUC